CGCAUGGACGUUUACUAUUAAAGUACCUUCACUUCCUGAGCUGACGCUUCCCGAGUGCCUACUACACGACUGGACCUCAAGGCUGGGUCCUUCAUUGAGCAAUGCAUACUGAACCACUGCAAAACUAUUGAUAAUCUCCACAUGGGGACCUGCAGAUAUUCCCGCUGGACCUUUUCAAAGGGAAAUGACUUGACCUUGUAGAGAGAGGGCGUUGGCACUGCCUCCCGGCUUGAAUUCUGGAGGACAGAACGGACCACAAACAGACAUGCCGAAACACAGAUAAGUGAAGUGCUACCAGGAGAUGACUUGUGAGACGUGGAAAUUCAAACAGUGACGUAGUCCGGGC
rnacentral:lncRNA from 1 species